GCCAGGGUGGGUGAGUGGCUAAAACCGACGGUCUGUAAAAUCGUUGCCCUGACGGGCUACGCAGGUUCGAAUCCUGCCCCUGGCACCA
rnacentral:tRNA from 1 species